rnacentral:rRNA from 1 species
AGUCGAGCGGGGAAGGGUAGCUUGCUACCUAACCUAGCGGCGGACGGGUGAGUAAUGCUUAGGAAUCUGCCAUUUAGUGGGGGACAACAUUCCGAAAGGAAUGCUAAUACCGCAUACGUCCUACGGGAGAAAGCAGGGGAUCUUCGGACCUUGCGCUAAAUGAUGAGCCUAAGUCGGAUUAGCUAGUUGGUGGGGUAAAGGCCUACCAAGGCGACGAUCUGUAGCGGGUCUGAGAGGAUGAUCCGCCACACUGGGACUGAGACACGGCCCAGACUCCUACGGGAGGCAGCAGUGGGGAAUAUUGGACAAUGGGCGGAAGCCUGAUCCAGCCAUGCCGCGUGUGUGAAGAAGGCCUUAUGGUUGUAAAGCACUUUAAGCGAGGAGGAGGCUACUUAGAUUAAUACUCUAGGAUAGUGGACGUUACUCGCAGAAUAAGCACCGGCUAACUCUGUGCCAGCAGCCGCGGUAAUACAGAGGGUGCGAGCGUUAAUCGGAUUUACUGGGCGUAAAGCGUGCGUAGGCGGCUUUUUAAGUCGGAUGUGAAAUCCCCGAGCUUAACUUGGGAAUUGCAUUCGAUACUGGGAAGCUAGAGUAUGGGAGAGGAUGGUAGAAUUCCAGGUGUAGCGGUGAAAUGCGUAGAGAUCUGGAGGAAUACCGAUGGCGAAGGCAACCAUCUGGCCUAAUACUGACGCUGAGGUACGAAAAGCAUGGGGAGCAAACAGGAUUAGAUACCCUGGUAGUCCAUGCCGUAAACGAUGUCUACUAGCCGUUGGGGCCUUUGAGGCUUUAGUGGCGCAGCUAACGCGAUAAGUAGACCGCCUGGGGAGUACGGUCGCAAGACUAAAACUCAAAGGAAUUGACGG